UUUAAGAUUGAGACAAUUAGGAGUUUUCGUGGAUACAAGCUUGUGUUUUGUCCCACCAUCAGUGAUCCAACUGGUCAGUGUAAUAAUAUUGGAAGAUUUUUUGAUAAUGAGAAUGGACUGCGUUUGAUCAUGAGCGAAAAUUUUAAACCUUUUGAAGUUGUAUUCGUUGAUGUUGAAGAUACUGCUGGAUUCGGAAGAUCUGUAGUUUGAAUAAAAAAAUUCAACCCUUUGAAAUUGUAUUCGUUGAUGUUCAAGAUGCUUCUCGAUCCGAAGAUCUGUAGUUUAAAUAAAAUUUCCAAUCAAGUAUUCAAUAACAAGUUAGGCUUACGGUUUUUAAAACCUUUGCUUUGUAUUUCGUCAUGAUUUAGUGUGGGGUCUUUUUGGUGGGUCGAUUAUCUAAAUGCUUUUUCGGAC
rnacentral:lncRNA from 1 species